rnacentral:rRNA from 1 species
UACGUAGGUCGCAAGCGUUGUCCGGAAUUACUGGGCAUAAAGCGCGCGUAGGCGGGUUUUCAAGUCGGUUGUGAAAUCCCCCAGCUCAACUGGGGAACUGCAUCCGAUACUGUCUGUCUUGAGGACGAGAGGGAAGAGUGGAACUUCUGGUGGAGCGGUGAAAUGCGUAGAUAUCAGAAGGAACGCCGGUGGCGAAAGCGACUCUCUGGCUCGUAUCUGACGCUGAUGCGCGAAAGCUUGGGUAGCAAACGGG